rnacentral:tmRNA from 1 species
GGGGGCGAUUUAGUUUCGACAGAGUUCAUUUUGGAAAAUGUAAAGCAUGUGGCGAAUGCUCCAAGCGCCUUAAAUGGGAGCGUGCGAAAUAAACGCAGAAAAAAAUGACAACGUUGUUACAAUGAAUACAAUGCCUUGCGCUGCGUAGUUUGUUGAACAACUGCCUGAUUAGAGCGUAAUCUAAUCCGCCAUGUUUUGCGUUGCCGGCAAAACUUAGGUGUCAGUUUGGCAAAACCUUUAUGCAAAGUUCUUCCUUCUAUGCAUAAAAAAUUUAAAGGAAUGGCAAAGAUAACCUGUUUGUGGGUGACAUCUUUGCGAGAAAGAAACAUAAACUAAACAUGUAGAAAAGUUUUCUGAAAGAAUUUUGGACUCGGGAGCAUAACCCGACGCCUCCAC